UACGUAGGUGGCAAGCGUUGUCCGGAUUUACUGGGCGUAAAGAGCGCGCAGGCGGUCGUUCAAGUCGCGUGUGAAAGCCCCCGGCUCAACUGGGGAGGGUCACGCGAUACUGAUCGACUCGAAGGCAGGAGAGGGUAGUGGAAUUUCCGGUGGAGCGGUGAAAUGCGUAGAGAUCGGAAAGAACACCAACGGCGAAAGCACUCUGCUGGGCCGACACUGACACUGAGAGACGAAAGCUAGGGGAGCGAAUGGG
rnacentral:rRNA from 1 species